UACGAAGGGGGCUAGCGUUGCUCGGAAUUACUGGGCGUAAAGCGCACGUAGGCGGUUUCUUAAGUCGGUGGUGAAAUCCUGGAGCUCAACUCCAGAACUGCCUUCGAUACUGGGAAACUUGAGUUCGGGAGAGGUGAGUGGAACUGCGAGUGUAGAGGUGAAAUUCGUAGAUAUUCGCAAGAACACCAGUGGCGAAGGCGACCACCUGGACUGAUACUGACACUGAGGUGCGAAAGCGUGGGGAGCAAACAGG
rnacentral:rRNA from 1 species